UGCCCCGUGGCUGAGUUGGUUACAGCGGUUGACUGUUAGUUAAUAAACUAAUUUAAUCAGACGGUCCAGAGUUCGAGUCUCUGCGGGGCAG